ACACCCGUCGCUGCAGACUGUAGCGCGGUGACGUCACGUACGUACGUCACGUAUGUGUUUACUGCGCAUGCGCAAUGUGACAUAAGGUAUAUGUUUAACACGCAUGCGCGUCGUACAUAUUGGCGUUACCAAGGAGUAUAGAAGCGCUAUAUACCUAGGGUUACUGCGCAUGUACAGGUUCAUUCACUUCCGGAUGUAUGGUGGAUUCGAGAUUCGUUGGCAAUGCAUACUACAGUCCUCAGAAAAGGAGAAAAGAUAACAAUAGAACAGUGCAUCUCAUGCUGUGAUAAAUAUCACUGCCCAUUUUGUGAGACCUGGGUCUACAAACCAGUGGACUUGUACAGUGUCACGAAGCAUGUGCAGGAUCAUCUGAAAACAGCUGUUUGUGAAGAAGAUUUUAUUAUCAUAAGAUGCAGCUUAAAAUGCAGAGAUGUUUCUCAUUUUCAUUGCUGCUAUUGUUCUGCUACAAUCAUACGAAAAGCACAAUUUAACAUCCAUCUUACAAAAUGCAAGCAAAAGAAACAAAAGUUUCCAUCUCCACAAAGAACUCCAUCACCCAUGGUUCUGAUUGGUAAUACACCUCUGCCUGCAGCUUCUGCUCAGACAGCACCCCUUCUUCAACCUCAGCCUUCUCCAAGUGAACCACGCACGUCUGUGUCUCCCACGCCCAGUACUCCACUGUAUCAACCCAAAGUAUGUAAGGGACCACCACUUCCAUCUCCUUUGAGUACCUUCACAUCUCUGCCUGCAGCUUCUGCUCAGACAGCACCCCUACUUCAAGCUCAGCCUUCUCCAAGUGAACCACGCACGUCUGUCUGUCAGGGAGUACAGCUGUGAUGACAUUACAGGCAUACCCAGACAGCACAAUUCAAAUAACUGCAGAGUGUUUGUGUUGAUGUAUGCACUCUACAUGGUAUUGGAGGGGCAUUUUGAUUUCAACGAAUGUGACAUGCCAACAAUUAGAAGGUGGUGGUGUAUGCUUCUGCUGAGUAAUUACCCAUUGACGUAAGUCAAGAUCAAGUUGUACUGUAUUUGAAAUGUUGCCAACUUAUCUGUAAACAUAAAUUUAACAGUUCAAAUUAAAUGGUACAAAGAAGUGUUUUUAUGUGUGCAAAUAAUUUCAUUACAUAUAUCGGAUGUAAACCUGUGAAUUUCAAGUAUUCUUCUGGGGGUGUCAUUAAGAUCAAACUCUCUUCAUAAGCUCUUUAUAUUUUAAACAU